AAUGAACGCUGGCGGCGUGCCUAACACAUGCAAGUCGAACGAACCGAUGAGGAGCUUGCUCCCCUGCCGUUAGCGGCCGACGGGGGAGUAACACUUGGAUCACCUACAUCUUAGACAGGGAGGAUCUCGUGAAACCGGAGCCAAUAUCGGCUAAUAUAUCCUACCGCAUGGUUCAAUAGCUUAUGAUAGGUUUGCUGUUUCUUUUAGGUGGAUCCGCGCCGCCUUAGCUAGUUGGUAAGGUAACGGCUUACCAAGGCAACGUUGCGUAGCGGACCUGAGAGGGUGGUCGGCCACACUGGACCUGAGACACGGUCCAGACUCCUACGGGAGGCAGCAGUAGGGAAUCUUACGCAAAGGGCGAAAGCCUGAUGGAGCAACACCGCGUGAGUGAUGAAGGUCUUCGGAUCGUAAAGCUCUGUUAUUGGGAAAGAACAAAAGUGUAAGUAUCUAUGCCCGUCUUGACGGUACCUAAAGAAAAAGCCCCGGCUAACUUCGUG
rnacentral:rRNA from 1 species